rnacentral:rRNA from 1 species
AGUGGGGAAUAUUGCACAAUGGGCGCAAGCCUGAUGCAGCCAUGCCGCGUGUAUGAAGAAGGCCUUCGGGUUGUAAAGUACUUUCAGCAGUGAGGAAGGGUGUGUAGUUAAUAACUGCAUAUCUUGACGUUAGCUGCAGAAGAAGCACCGGCUAACUCCGUGCCAGCAGCCGCGGUAAUACGGAGGGUGCGAGCGUUAAUCGGAAUUACUGGGCGUAAAGCGCAUGCAGGUGGUUUGUUAAGUCAGAUGUGAAAGCCCGGGGCUCAACCUCGGAAUUGCAUUUGAAACUGGCAGGCUAGAGUACUGUAGAGGGGGGUAGAAUUUCAGGUGUAGCGGUGAAAUGCGUAGAGAUCUGAAGGAAUACCAGUGGCGAAGGCGGCCCCCUGGACAGAUACUGACACUCAGAUGCGAAAGCGUGGGGAGCAAA